ACAUGCCUACAAUAUAGCAUCAAUGCACCGGAUCCCAUUAAAACUUCGUAGUUAGGCACGCUCAGGAUAAAGUAGUACUAGGAUGGGUGACUACUCGAGAAGUCAUAGUGUUUUACAUGCC
rfam:Picea glauca, whole genome shotgun sequence.